rnacentral:tRNA from 1 species
GAGGGGAUAGCUCAGUGGUAGAGGGCAUGCCUAGCAUGCACGAGGUUCUGGGUUCAAUCCCCAGUACCUCCA